rnacentral:rRNA from 1 species
UGCAUAUCAAAAAGCGGAGGAAAAGAAACCAACCGGGAUUGCCUUAGUAACGGCGAGUGAAGCGGCAAAAGCUCAAAUUUGAAAUCUGGUACCUUCGGUGCCCGAGUUGUAAUUUGGAGAGGGCAACUUUGGGGCCGUUCCUUGUCUAUGUUCCUUGGAACAGGACGUCAUAGAGGGUGAGAAUCCCGUGUGGCGAGGAGUGCGGUUCUUUGUAAAGUGCCUUCGAAGAGUCGAGUUGUUUGGGAAUGCAGCUCUAAGUGGGUGGUAAAUUCCAUCUAAAGCUAAAUAUUGGCGAGAGACCGAUAGCGAACAAGUACAGUGAUGGAAAGAUGAAAAGAACUUUGAAAAGAGAGUGAAAAAGUACGUGAAAUUGUUGAAAGGGAAGGGCAUUUGAUCAGACAUGGUGUUUUGUGCCCUCUGCUCCUUGUGGGUAGGGGAAUCUCGCAUUUCACUGGGCCAGCAUCAGUUUUGGUGGCAGGAUAAAUCCAUAGGAAUGUAGCUUGCCUCGGUAAGUAUUAUAGCCUGUGGGAAUACUGCCAGCUGGGACUGAGGACUGCGACGUAAGUCAAGGAUGCUGGCAUAAUGGUUAUAUGCCGCCCGUCUUGAACUACGGACCA